rnacentral:rRNA from 1 species
CAGAGGGUGCGAGCGUUGUCCGGAAUCACUGGGCGUAAAGGGCGCGUAGGUGGCUUUGUAAGUCGGGGGUGAAAUGCUGCGGCUCAACCGCAGCGCUGCCUCCGAGACUGCAAGGCUCGAGCACGGUAGAGGCCGAUGGAAUUCCCGGUGUAGCGGUGGAAUGCGUAGAGAUCGGGAAGAACACCAAUGGCGAAGGCAGUCGGCUGGGCCGUUGCUGACACUGAGGCGCGACAGCGUGGGGAGCAAACAGGAUUAGAUACCCUGGUAGUCCACGCCGUAAACGAUGGGCACUAGGCGUCGGGGGGAGCGACCCUCCCGGUGCCGUCGCCAACGCAGUAAGUGCCCCGCCUGGGGAGUACGGCCGCAAGGUUG